CGCGACUCUGCCUCUCCGCCCCGCCGCCAUGUGGGAGCUUCGGCCGCUCCUCCUCGGCCUCGAGGUCGGCGGCUGCGGAGCGCCUCGGUUCCGAAGCGCGGUCUGAAAGGGCUCCCCAGGCGGCGGCUGUGCCGUUAUAGGAAGAAAGUGAGCAUGGAGUGUGUUAUCCCGAGCACCACUGCGAUGCUGGGCUGAGGAGUUCGUGAGGCUUCGUUCUUCCAGGAGAUGGAGGUGCAGCGUAUGGGGAAUGGUCUUGCCAUCUGAGGAGGUGGGCUGGGAACAUUCCUUCAUGGAUACGUCUGUUAUGUUGAAU
ensembl:lncRNA